GCUGCCACAUCGCUAAUUCAUCUCUUCCCAGCAUGACAUGUGUCCUCUCAGUUAUUUUUCUUCUUUUAGUUUGUGUUUGUUAAUUGGGCUGAUGGACCAUUAUCGGAUUCCGAAAAGUUACACGCUUCGUCUUCAAGAAUUGUGAGACCUUUGAUUUAUAGGGUUCAUCCUCUGCUUCAGCCGUUACUUCGAUAAACUAACCAAAGAGUUUCAGAAGGCUAUGGAAGACAAAUAUUCAUGGCUAAUCCAUGGAGCGAGCUGCUGUUCAUGUCGUUUCUUCUCGAGCUCUCUCUACUUUGCCGUUUUAUCUUCCUCCGAAAACCGUACAUCAAUACCCGCUUCUGUUCCUGUUCCUAGCGACGGAGACGAUGCCGCUAGACGUCGUACCGCUGCAGUGGCCAAUUAUCGGAGAAUGAUUGUCAAAGCUAGCAGCGGUCCUCGAUAUGUGGUAGGCUGCCGUAGCAAAGUGGAUAAGGAGAAGCUGAUCUCAGCAACUCGAGUUGUUCUUGAUAUGACAACACUAACAAUUAUGAGAGCCCUUCCCCGAGAAGUAAGAUCCUUGCAUCUUAUCCUCUCCGGCAGCCAUUUUCACCCCUCACAUCCCUUCCAUCAUCCUAGCACAAGAGAAACCAAGAAGAAAAACAACAUCAAUGUCAUACAUAUAUAAAGGAAGAGAAAAAAUUAUGAGUUAUGAGAGCUCAGUCAUUGUAGAGAACUAUAAUUUUCUCCAAUAAUAAAUAGUGGUCAACAGAUAUUGUUUGAGCUCUUGGCCUAGGUGGAACUGCCCUAGGAAUGAUAAAAGAAAAAUACUUGGUUUAGGCAAGUAUAUGCUAUUCAAAGAAAUACAUCUUUUUGAUUCCUCCGAGCCAUUUUGAAGCUUGAAGGCGUUUACUCAGCAUUUGAGUAAUAAAUAUGGGUGAUGCUGAAGAAGUAUCACAACACUAUAGAUUGAUGUCAAGACAUACAAGAGAUUGUUUGGGAGUGUCCUUUAGAUGUUACGCCUACAUACCCGUUUCAGGUCAAGAGUAUGUGCAGUUGUCUGAUUGUCUAAUUGAAACGCUUAACAAAGAUGAAGUGUACUGAUUAUCUGUUGCAAUUGCAUUUUCACUCAUGAGCAAACUCUGUGGUUACUGAGGAAUUUUUUAAGGAUAUAUUCCUCCCUGAAACUCAAGCCUCCUGCUACUCAUCAUUAUAGUGCCUUUCAAACCCACACACAAUGAAUGGCCACCUUGAACCUUAUGUUCUCCGACUUGAAAGCUGGUUGUUGUGCCAACACGGUCGAAUCCUGACUUCUUAGGUUCGGUGUGGCCUGUAAUGUGAAGAAAGGGAGAGAGCUCAUAAGGCCGACAUGCUGUAUCGUCAUCAUUUCAUCAUUAGUUAACUAUAAUAAUGGUCCAGUUUUGGUUGGGUCACAAAAGCUUUGAUGGGUCUCACGUUUGGUGGGUCACUCCCAACUAAAUUUUGUAAAUUAUUUUAUAUUCACAGAACUUUUGUUUCAUGGUCGAAAGCUCAAAACAACGUCUUUAUCUUUAAAGCUAAGAUUAUGUUCUUCUAUGUCAUUCACGUCAGUCAGUUGCCUCCGAUGGGUCUUCUUCAUCUCCUUCUAUUGUAUUCUUCUCUAUACUGUUUCUAUUUUGUAAAUUACACAUAUUAGCCUA